rnacentral:rRNA from 1 species
UACUGGGGGGGCAAGCGUUGUUCGGAAUUACUGGGCGUAAAGGGUCUGUAGGUGGCCAACUAAGUCAAACGUGAAAUCCCUCAGCUUAACUGGGGAACUGCGUCUGAUACUGGAUGGCUCGAGUGUGGGAGAGGAAUGCGGAAUUCCAGGUGUAGCGGUGAAAUGCGUAGAUAUCUGGAGGAACACCGGUGGCGAAGGCGGCAUUCUGGACCACAACUGACACUGAGAGACGAAAGCCAGGGGAGCAAACGGG